rnacentral:rRNA from 1 species
AUGGGUUGCGUCAUNNNNNNNNNNNNNNNNNNNNNNNNNNNNNNNNNNNNNNGCUGUAUGAAAAUAACUAGAAUUAGACAGAAUAUAGGAAAUAUAGACGCUUUGCCUGUGCAAAUUGGCACAUCAGAGUUUAAUUAUGUUCAGCUGUUGGCAAUGGUUCUGUCAAAGUUGAAGAGGGCGGCAGAUUUACAGCAAAAUGAUGAUGUUCAAAGGUGCUGCAUUGCCAUUCCAUCGUUCUUUACUGAUAUUCAGCGCAGGGCUGUGUAUCAAGCAGCUGAAGUUGCUGGUCUGAUCCCGUUAAGACUGUUGCACGAAUGCACUGCUGUAGCUCUUUCAUAUGGAAUGGAUGAGUCAAAGAACUUGAAUACCUUGAAAGAUAAGCAUUUGUUAGUUCUCAAUAUUGAUAAAAAUACCAUGCAGGCCUGUGUUGCAAAAUUCAUUGCAUCGAAAAUCAAAAUCUUUGGAAAAAGAGAUAUUGAGAUGGAGAUCCUUGCCCAUGCCUACAGUAAGGAAAUCGGAGAGAAGACCUUUGAGGAUGUCAUUUCUGAGCAUUGCAAUAACAAUACCGCCUAUAUUGCAAAGUGGAAAAAUAAGUUUCUAACUGAUAAAAGGACGCAAUUGGAAGAGACAGAAUUGAUAGCUCGUCUAGAAACUAGAUCUGCACCAUUGCGUGGUCUCAUACGGGAGGUAUUAGAUGAAGCUCACCUAAAAGCCAGUGAAAUAGGGUCUAUUGUAUUGGCUGGAUCUGGAACACAAUACCCGCAGAUACCCAAUAUAAUAGAAGAUGUUUUGGGGAGAAAGCCCGAGCGCUGGACUUAUGCUAGUGCAAUCGAAUCGGUGGCCAAAGGAUGCGCCAUGCAUUGUUUAUCAAUCAUCCGGCACGACAAAAUUACUGAGAAUGAUACAUCUGAAAGAAAACGCAGACUGAUAAGUUCAAUAUAA